AUUGAACACUGGCGGCAGGCCUAACACAUGCAAGUCGAACGGUAGCACAGAGAGCUUGCUCUCGGGUGACGAGUGGCGGACGGGUGAGUAACGUCUGGGAAACUGCCCGAUGGAGGGGGAUAACUACUGGAAACGGUAGCUAAUACCGCAUAACGUCACAAGACCAAAGUGGGGGACCUUCGGGCCUCACACCAUCGGAUGUGCCCAGAUGGGAUUAGCUAGUAGGUGGGGUAAUGGCUCACCUAGGCGACGAUCCCUAGCUGGUCUGAGAGGAUGACCAGCCACACUGGAACUGAGACACGGUCCAGACUCCUACGGGAGGCAGCAGUGGGGAAUAUUGCACAAUGGGCGCAAGCCUGAUGCAGCCAUGCCGCGUGUAUGAAGAAGACCUUCGGGUUGUAAAGUACUUUCAGCGGGGAGGAAGGCGGUGAAGUUAAUAGCUUCACCGAUUGACGUUACCCGCAGAAGAAGCACCGGCUAACUCCGUGCCAGCAGCCGCAGUAA
rnacentral:rRNA from 1 species